rfam:Glycine soja cultivar W05 scaffold319_27, whole genome shotgun sequence.
UCUUGAUACCUAACUGGAAAUUCUUAAAGCAUUCCCAUCAUCAAAAUGAUGUGAAAAUUAGGAAUGCUUUAAGAAUUUCAGUUAUGCAUCAAUC